UACGGGGAGGCAGCAGUGGGGAAUAUUGCACAAUGGGGGAAACCCUGAUGCAGCCAUGCCGCGUGUGUGAAGAAGGCCUUCGGGUUGUAAAGCACUUUCAGUAGGGAGGAAGGUAGUGUAGUUAAUACCUGCAUUAUUUGACGUUACCUACAGAAGAAGCACCGGCUAACUCCGUGCCAGCAGCCGCGGUAAUACGGAGGGUGCGAGCGUUAAUCGGAAUUACUGGGCGUAAAGCGCAUGCAGGCGGCCUGUUAAGUCAGAUGUGAAAGCCCGGGGCUUAACCUCGGAAUUGCAUUUGAAACUGGCAGGCUAGAGUCUUGUAGAGGGGGGUAGGAAUUUCAGGUGUAGCGGUGAAAUGCGUAGAGAUCUGAAGGAAUACCAGUGGCGAAGGCGGCCCCCUGGACAAAGACUGACGCUCAGAUGCGAAAGCGUGGGGAGCAAACAGGAUUAGAUACCCUGGUAG
rnacentral:rRNA from 1 species